GGAGUUAGCCGGUGCUUCUUCUGCGAGUAACGUCACAGAUGUAAGGUAUUAACUUACACCCUUUCCUCCUCGCUGAAAGUGCUUUACAACCCGAAGGCCUUCUUCACACACGCGGCAUGGCUGCAUCAGGGUUUCCCCCAUUGUGCAAUAUUCCCCACUGCUGCCUCCCGUAGGAGUCUGGGCCGUGUCUCAGUCCCAGUGUGGCUGAUCAUCCUCUCAGACCAGCUAGGGAUCGUCGCCUAGGUGAGCCUUUACCUCACCUACUAGCUAAUCCCACCUGGGCUUAUCCAUCAGCGCAAGGCCCGAAGGUCCCCUGCUUUCCCCCGUAGGGCGUAUGCGGUAUUAGCAGUCGUUUCCAACUGUUAUCCCCCACAAAUGGGCAAAUUCCCAGGCAUUACUCACCCGUCCGCCGCUCGUCAUCUUCAAAGCAAGCUUUUGAAUGUUACCGCUCGACUUGCAUGUGUUAGGCCUGCCGCCAGCGUUCAAUCUGAGCCAUGAUCAAACUCUGA
rnacentral:rRNA from 1 species